rnacentral:lncRNA from 1 species
GUUCGUUUAGACAGAUUGGAUUUGCAGAGGUGGGGAGGGGUUGGAGAUGUUGGCUUUGUGAUUUCGGCAGGAUUUGGACCAUCAGCGGACAUGCCUGGAGGAUGACAGUAGCUGUCUGCGAGCUGAGAUCCAGGAGCUGAAAACCAACUUUAGACCCCUCACAUAAGUGAUCCAUCGUGCUCAACACAUGCUCGGCCUGGAUCCCUGCCUUUGAUCUGCAUAAUAUGCCUCCUCCACCUCUUCAUCUCCCUUCUCCUUUUAUCACAUCAUGUGUGAAUGCAGAACAUCAGUGAAAUGUUGUAGAAGGUUCGCCAUAGUCUCCUGUGUACAACGUGCCCAUGCCAAGAUCCUGCUGCUGUACCUUUAGCCGUGACAAGUCGGCCUGUGCGCUAGCUGUGCCCAUGGGGCAUCAUCGGUCAUAACAAGAGUCGGUGUGCCCGCUUCAGCGCAACCCCAUUGUGGUGUUGGAGGAUAAUAACACUCUGCUUCCUUUUGUCAGUGUGUUUUGCUGGAUGAUAAACACAGGGGAGGAAGGACUGGCAGAGGAGCUCAAGCUCAAAGAGUCCAAAGCCAGAGCACCUCUGAAGGCUCAGGUGGAAGAUCUGAGGAAACAGCUCAAGGCCAAGAGCAGGAUUAUUCAAAGUCUGAAAGAGGAAAUUAAGACUCCUUUGUUCCACAGUGCACAAAAGAAGAAUGAGGCACGGAGACGACAAAAAUCCCUUUCCCUCCGUCCUCUUUGAUUGAAUAGAAACAACUUUUAGAUGCUGUUGAAUUUUAACAAUAUUCCAUGCUGAUUGCGCUCUAAGCCUUACAUGUGUUGUGUAUUAGGCAGCGCUUUCGUUCUGCGACAAGAGGC